GUUGCAUUUCAUUCCAUAGUUAUAGGGAUUUCAGGUGGCUCUCCACUUCCCUGUAACUGCUAAGGAACUGACUCCUGUGCCUUACUUUUAAGAAGAAAAUGUACAACUGCAAAGCACUGUGGUUGUCAAUGAGGCUGAACACAGAGACCCGGUGCAACAACUGUGCCUUCUUGAUUUCUAUGGAGCAACUCAAGAGUUUUCAAAACUCUAGAAUUCUGACCACCUAAGUUCCAUAAGAAAAUGAUGAGCUCUGAGCCAGCAUAAUUGGGUCCCAGGAGAUCACAACAGCCGUUUUGACCCCUAUUCAGGAAAGUAUUUAUUGAUUUAUAAAACACAUAGUAAUAAAAGAACCCUGCAAAAGGCACAAGUGACCUAAGGAAACAGUUUAAAAUGUUGUCUAAUCUUGGUUGAUUGGCAGAGACCCAGUACAUUCUGAGUGCGGUAAAGCUAGUUGUACUGAGACAUUUGGCUUUCUUGGAUUCCUCCAAACCAGUCUGCUGGUCCCCCAGCAUGCUUCCAGACCAUAGGGUGGAAAUCAUUCUAUAGAUAGGUAACACAAGAAAAAUAACAACCUUUGGAUCAUAGGCAGCCUCCAAUUAAUAUACUCAAAUAGGCUUUCAGUGCAAGGUUCACUGCCUAAACUUUAGCUCAUUUAUUUUAGUUCUUAAAGCCUUACAGGAAUGCCUAAGCUCUCUAAAGAGCUAAAGGUGUAAACAGUGACUUUCACUCAUGGCCUUAGCAUUUUCAGUGAUAGCAUGUAAUUGUUUAUGGCACUCUUUUAAUGACAAAAUAACAACAAAUACUCUGCCAAAGACAUGGGAGAAAGAUAAAACAUUCACGGUGCACGUGAGUCUUGUCAUUCUCUGAUUUUAGUUUUCCUCAUUCAGGUAGUUUAUUUCAGCUAAUAUCAGUCCUUAAUGCCCACGCAAUGCAAAAUCUCCCAUUACAUGUGCAUUCAGACAUCACAGUUGUAUUUGGGAAAUGAAUCAUUUAUAUUAGUUUAGACAACAACAUAUUCAGUGGGAGAGAAUGACUGAUCCAUACAAAUACUAUCUGGAACAAGAGUGCAUGAUGAAGCAUCUCUUAUUGAUUAGAAGAUUUGUUCUUGUUUAUGGUAUUUUACAACAUCCUUAAUCAAGUCUCUUCUAAAAGAUUCCAGCAAGAUUUAAGGAAAUUCUUGAUUUUGAUGAAUAGGCUGUCAAGCAAGGUUAGACAUACAAUGUUUUUAACCAUUAGCUGGAGCUUACAUUCUCAUUUCAGAGACAGAUGCAAGUCCAAAUGUGUAAUUAUGAACAAACAAACAAACAAAAAACCCACAUGUACUCCCUAAAAAAAUGAUAUAUUUGCUUUGAAAGUAUUGGCAUUCUACUCUUAAAAAAUGCUGUUACCAUCACAUGAAGUGAUUUCUUUCUGAGAUACUGUAUACACUUUGCAGCCAGUUCAUCACAGAUCUCUGUCUUUGUGAGCUAUAACACAGAUAUAUCUGUCUCCGCAACAAAUACAAGCACUGGAAAUCAUCUUCAAUGCACUUCCAACUUGAUGUCUUGCUUUGGCAGCCAUUUCAAAUUUUUCUCUUUAACAUUGAAAUGAACGGAAGCAUUGUAAAAGCCUAAGAGGAAAGUCUGAUACACAAGACCUCUCCUUCAUGAAAACAACGAAAUAAGUGAAAUUGUAAUGGGAUUCAAUGGGGAUGAGAAGUAACUGGAAAUUAGUUGCUAAUGAUUAUCAGCAUUUGUAUAAAUGAACAGUAAGCUGUACAGAGAUUCCAGAUGUCUGGCCUUGAAUCUCAAACCUCAAAUCAAAUACUUUAAGCUUGCAAUUGUUUCUCUUAGCCUAUAGCUUUCAUGAAGGGGAUAAAUGCACAUGAUGCUGGCAUAUACAUUUCAAAACUUUCCAAUAUGCAUCUUUAGGAUUAAAUACAAAUUUUUUUACAAAUGCUUCACUGCAACAAAGAUUACCUCCAAGUAAAUAUCCACUUUAAUAUGGUCACUUUUUCUUUUUACUUUUACAGAUAGUAUUUGGACUUUCUGGAAGACUACAAGACUCUAGUGCAGACAAACAAACAUUCAGGCAAUAAAAUACCAUCACUUCUUUUGUUCAUAAGAAGCCUUUUAUGUGGAAAAUAAAAAAUUAGCAUUAUCUUCUAAUACCUAUAGGAGGAUUUCAGCUGGCCCAAGUGAACAGAAUAAGCACUGCAUCACUGAAGCACUGCAAACUGCAGGCACCAGUGAAUGGAAAGGACCGGAUCAAGGGCAAAGUAACAUAACCGUAUGGCAAAUGAUCUGCUCUAAUGCCUGGCAGAAGCACUACAGAUCAUAGAUGUGAGGACUUAGCUGGAAGAACCGAAGCUGUCUGGAGUUAGCUGCAUAGCUGAAGCCAUGAAAAAGGCUGUUCCAGAAUGGACGUGUGACCAGCAUAUGUACACACAGCCAAGAUGCACAGGAAUUGAUUGCUUUGCAAUAUUGUGCUUCAGAGAAAUCA
ensembl:lncRNA